UGGGGAAUAUUGCACAAUGGGCGAAAGCCUGAUGCAGCGACGCCGCGUGAGGGAUGACGGCCUUCGGGUUGUAAACCUCUUUCAGUAGGGACGAAGCGCAAGUGACGGUACCUGCAGAAGAAGCACCGGCUAACUACGUGCCAGCAGCCGCGGUAAUACGUAGGGUGCGAGCGUUGUCCGGAAUUACAGGGCGUAAAGAGCUCGUAGGCGGUUUGUCACGUCGUCUGUGAAAUCCUAGGGCUUAACCCUGGACGUGCAGGCGAUACGGGCUGACUUGAGUACUACAGGGGAGACUGGAAUUUCUGGUGUAGCGGUGGAAUGCACAGAUAUCAGGAAGAACACCGAUGGCGAAGGCAGGUCUCUGGGUAGUAACUGACGCUGAGGAGCGAAAGCAUGGGUAGCGAACAGG
rnacentral:rRNA from 1 species